AGAGUUUGAUCAUGGCUCAGAUUGAACGCUGGCGGCAGGCCUAACACAUGCAAGUCGAGCGGCAGCGGGAGGAAGCUUGCUUCCUCGCCGGCGAGCGGCGGACGGGUGAGUAAUGUCUGGGGAUCUGCCCGAUGGAGGGGGAUAACCACUGGAAACGGUGGCUAAUACCGCAUAACGUCGCAAGACCAAAGUGGGGGACCUUCGGGCCUCACACCAUCGGAUGAACCCAGAUGGGAUUAGCUAGUAGGUGGGGUAAUGGCUCACCUAGGCGACGAUCCCUAGCUGGUCUGAGAGGAUGACCAGCCACACUGGAACUGAGACACGGUCCAGACUCCUACGGGAGGCAGCAGUGGGGAAUAUUGCACAAUGGGCGCAAGCCUGAUGCAGCCAUGCCGCGUGUGUGAAGAAGGCCUUCGGGUUGUAAAGCACUUUCAGCGAGGAGGAAGGUGGUGANUCAUCAAUUGACGUUACUCGCAGAAGAAGCACCGGCUAACUCCGUGCCAGCAGCCGCGGUAAUACGGAGGGUGCAAGCGUUAAUCGGAAUUACUGGGCGUAAAGCGCACGCAGGCGGUUUGUUAAGUCAGAUGUGAAAUCCCCGAGCUUAACUUGGGAACUGCAUUUGAAACUGGCAAGCUAGAGUCUCGUAGAGGGGGGUAGAAUUCCAGGUGUAGCGGUGAAAUGCGUAGAGAUCUGGAGGAAUACCGGUGGCGAAGGCGGCCCCCUGGACGAAGACUGACGCUCAGGUGCGAAAGCGUGGGGAGCAAACAGGAUUAGAUACCCUGGUAGUCCACGCCGUAAACGAUGUCGAUUUGGAGGUUGUGCCCUUGAGGCGUGGCUUCCGGAGCUAACGCGUUAAAUCGACCGCCUGGGGAGUACGGCCGCAAGGUUAAAACUCAAAUGAAUUGACGGGGGCCCGCACAAGCGGUGGAGCAUGUGGUUUAAUUCGAUGCAACGCGAAGAACCUUACCUACUCUUGACAUCCAGAGAACUUNGGCAAGCGGACCUCAUAAAGUACGUCGUAGUCCGGAUUGGAGUCUGCAACUCGACUCCAUGAAGUCGGAAUCGCUAGUAAUCGUAGAUCAGAAUGCUACGGUGAAUACGUUCCCGGGCCUUGUACACACCGCCCGUCACACCAUGGGAGUGGGUUGCAAAAGAAGUAGGUAGCUUAACCUUCGGGAGGGCGCUUACCACUUUGUGAUUCAUGACUGGGGUGAAGUCGUAACAAGGUAACCGUAGGGGAACCUGCGGUUGGAUCACCU
rnacentral:rRNA from 1 species